AACUGUCAGUGAGUGACCGUUAGUGGUCCUGCUCAGUCAAUGGUUGGCAUCACAUUGGACUCUGCCCCAGGAGCUGCCCUGUCCUGCCUGCUGCCCGCCUGGUACCAUAGAGUGUUGUUGCUGUGUGGCUGGAGCGGGAGUGGUCAUGUCCUAGGACUUGCAGGCAUACUUAAGAUGGACUCAUGGCCAAGUGAGGGUUUUUGGCUUCUCGACAGGGGAACAGAAUUCAAGAGCCUGCCAAGGAAAAGUGAAGUUCUUUGGAAGGAAACUCCAGUACUUUGGCCAUGCGAAGAGUUGACUCAUUGGAAAAGACUCUGACGCUGGGAGGGAUUGGGGGCAGGAGGAGAAGGGGACGACAGAGGAUGAGAUGGCUGGAUGGCAUCACCGACUCAAUGGAGGUGAGUUUGGGUGAACUCUGGGAGUUGGUGAUGGACAGGGAGGCCUGGCGUGCUGCAAUU
rnacentral:lncRNA from 1 species